UUUUAAAUUCUAGUCAUCCUAGUGGGAGGAGUCGCUUUUUGAGGAAACUUCAAAAGCAGGUGGGGCUAGGUGAGGUGCCUCACACCUGUGAUCCCAGCACUUUGGAAGGCCAAAGUCGGAGGAUCGCUUGAGCCCUGGAGUUCGAGGCCAGAUCACUUAAGCCCAGGACUUUGAGGUUGCAGUAAGCCAUGAUCGCGCUACGGCACUCCAGCCUGGGCGAUAGAGCCAGACCCUGUCUCAAGAAAAAAAAAAGAAAAAGAAAAAAAAAAGCAGGUGGCAGAGCUAGCUUGGUGCACCUCUGGGCUCCAGGACUGUCGGGAGUCUGUGUUGGCUUCAUCUCAGUCUGACCCCGGCCACACGAGCAGCUUCAGCCACUUCCUGAUCUGACCUUGGAACUCGGAGUCCCCCUCCCAGUGGUUCCUGCAAAGCCCCAGGGGGACUCGGAGUGGCCUCCUCUUGACAGUCAGUUGUGAGUCAGCAAUUUCCUCUCAUGAUUAAGACGGUCCCAGGGGAGCUUUGGUCACUUGGAACCUAAAGACACUUGACUGAUCCCAUUGGUCCUCCUGAGUGGCUCAGAGUCUGGGAGGCCGCCAGGGCCCAGGUCACACUUCCUGGCCUGACCAGACCAAUGAGCCCAUCGCCUGGAAUCUGCAAGCCCCUCCGUUGAGCUGGGAGCCCUUCGAGGGACUCCUGCUUGCAUUAAACCUAUACCAGUGCUUUCUGAGUUUCACUCUCCCCCCUGGGGUGUGAUGAUGAUACCGCCCAUCCCUGAGGGGCCUGUGACAAACGCUACCCCUUUAUACAUCCUGGCUCUGAUAUGAACAGCCUUUUUCUUGGGUCCCUGAACACACUUUGUCACUGCUGGGGCUUAACAAAGCCUUCCUGAACGCCCAGGAGAGCAGCAGGGACCUAACAGAGGACUCCAGAGGCUCAGACCCAGCCCCGCACGGCUCCUCCACCCCAAAUUCAGCCCCGGGGUCUUGUUCACCAACUGCUGGGUCAGAGGUCCUGAUUUCCAUGUCUACUUGCUGCUGGGUGACAGGGCAGCUUUCCCUGGCCCCUGCCAGGGGGUCCCCAACCAGGCAUCUCACUGAUUUCAUGGACCUGCCCCAGAGAGGGGCACCCAGUUCUGUAGUACCCAUCCCCCCAGGGCUGCCCCCACUUCCAGUUUUCCAGGGGGUAGCACUGUGAUGUCACCCCUAGUGAGGGCCGUUUUGUUCCUGUCACACUCCCCACUACCACAACAACUAGGCCCUAUCCUUGAGGGAUGCAGGCUGCACAGAGAAGCAGAGAAACAAGAGAAGGGAAACCUUAGCUGUGGAGCUUCCAAAGUCCAGGUCCUACCACAUGCAGUACAUUUGGAACGCUCUCUGCACAGCAUGUGUCUCCCCCUCAGCAUGGACAGAUGAGGUUAAACAUUGUCUAGCUGUGGAGGACAGAAGAAUAUAAGGAACUAAGGGAGAGGGCUCUCCUGGGCUGGGUGGGGGUACGCCUGGGGAAGGAUAAGCCCCCAGGGGCAGCUGCAGCUCUGAUCUCGGGAUUGGUGGGGCUGAACCUCAUUUCCUGGGAGGGGCAAGGUCCCCAGGUGCCCUGUGCCCUGAGAAGGCCAGGAGACUCUAGACAGGGAGUGAGCGGUGGUGGCUCAACAGAGGGCCUGUGACAGCCCAGCGAGCUCCCCAGCCCCAGUGCCCUGUAGGGAGCGGCCAAGUUCUCAAGGAGGGCCUGGAAGGGAGUCCCAGUUGUGACAAGAGGAGGCCACAGCCAAAACUUGCUUGGCCCUUACAAGCAGAGACCAGAUGGGGACGCAGACAGCUCAUCGGCUGCCAACUCGGAACAGAGAUGACAGCCAAGAACCACAUGUCCCAGUGUAUGUCUUGGGGGUGCCAGCAGGGAUGACAUCGACCGAUGACCCAUCUGCCACCUCCCCUGAUGUUUAUGAUGUCACCCAUAUUUGCUGGGAUCUGUGGGGUCCAAGAGAUGGGGGAGGGGGCCCUGAAUCUUCUGAGUUGA
rnacentral:lncRNA from 1 species